AUUUUCCAAAUACCAUCAUUGUCACCAAACCUCUGCAAGGCACAAUCAUCUUAUCUGGGCCCUGUCCUCUCCUCAGGCGUCCCACCCCAGAGCUUCCUAUAAAGUAGGAGACAUGCAAAUGGGGUCCUCCCUCUGCUGAUGAAAACCAGCCCAGCCCUGACCCUGCAGCUCUGGGAGAGGAGCCUCAGCCCUGGGAUUGCCAGGAGUUUCCACUUGGUGAUCAGCAUUGAACACAGAAGACCAGCCAUGGAGUUGGGGCUGAGCUGGGUUUUCCUUGUUGCUCUUUUAAAAGGUGUGCAGUGUGAGGUGCAGCUGGUGGAGUCUGGGGGAGGCUUGGUCCAGCCUGGGGGGUCCCUGAGACUCUCCUGUGCAGCCUCUGGAUUCACCUUCAGUAACUCCUGGAUGAGCUGGGUCCGCCAGGCUCCAGGGAAGGGGCUAGAGUGGGUUGCCCGUAUUAAAAGCAAAGCUGAUGGUGGAACAGCAGAAUACGCCGCAUCUGUGAAAGGCAGAUUCACCAUCUCAAGAGACGAUUCAAAGAACACACUGUACCUGCAAAUGAACAGCCUGAAAACCGAGGACACGGCCGUGUAUUACUGUACUAUAGACACAGUGAGGCAAGGUCAGUGUGAGCCCAGACACAAACCUCCCUGCAGGGGCGCGCGGGGCCACCAGGGGGCGCGCGGGACCCACUAA